GUCAAUAAAGUGAGUCUGGAAAAUGAAUGCAAGUCGUCAGAGUCCAGUUGAUCGGUGACGACAACACCAGACCUUGUCCGGUUUGUAAACUUCCUAUUUCUCAUCUGCAGAAUUGUCUGUCUUUCUCCAAAACCCCUCCACUGAAGAGAUUUGGAUCAACAAGACCGCUACUGUGGUGUGCAUGGUAAUGGGUGCUGAUCUGAGCCAGGUCCAAAUCUACUGGCAAGUGAGCGGAAGGGAGAGAACUACAGGGGCUGUGACCCGCCAACCGAGAGGGGAAAGGACCCAAGACAGAGUGAGCAGUAAACUCCGGAGCAGUGUGGAGGAGUGGACCAGUGGGGUGGAGGUUGUGUGCUCUGCCCACCGAUCUCCAUCAUCCUCACCAGUGUCAGCACGGACAGAAAGUACCAAAGUUGAAACAAAAAGACCCAAGGUCAGACUGCUGCCUCCAGCUCAUCAAGAGACCAAGCGUAGCCACACAGCCACCCUCGAGUGUGUGCUCUCUGGUUUCUACCCGGACCUCUUAAACGUUACUUGGGAGAAAGACGGAGCCCCGAUCUCCUCCACCACCAGCGCUACACUGACUGCUCUGGAGCAGGGAGGGACUUUCAGUGCCAGCCACUUCCUGACUGUGAGUUCAGAGGAUUGGAAGAAAGGCUCAGUCUUCGGCUGUACAGUGUCUCAUCCCCCCUCGAACACCAGUAUCAGCCGGGAAGUGAAAAGCUUUCAAGGUACGGUGCUGGGAUUCACUCUAAUGAUCACAUCUUUUGCCCCGUCACAAAAUAGGGCCAGGCAGGUAUAACACUGAAG